rnacentral:rRNA from 1 species
CAGCGCCGCGGUAAUACGGAGGGAGCUAGCGUUGUUCGGAAUUACUGGGCGUAAAGCGCACGUAGGCGGUUAUUCAAGUCAGAGGUGAAAGCCCGGGGCUCAACCCCGGAACUGCCUUUGAAACUAGAUGACUGGAAUCUUGGAGAGGUCAGUGGAAUUCCGAGUGUAGAGGUGAAAUUCGUAGAUAUUCGGAGGAACACCAGUGGCGAAGGCGACUGACUGGACAAGUAUUGACGCUGAGGUGCGAAAGCGUGGGGAGCAAACAGGAUUAGAUACCCCGGUAGUCCCUGUCUCUUAUACA